rnacentral:rRNA from 1 species
GAGGCUUUAGUGGCGCAGCUAACGCGAUAAGUAGACCGCCUGGGGAGUACGGUCGCAAGACUAAAACUCAAAUGAAUUGACGGGGGCCCGCACAAGCGGUGGAGCAUGUGGUUUAAUUCGAUGCAACGCGAAGAACCUUACCUGGCCUUGACAUACUAGAAACUUUCCAGAGAUGGAUUGGUGCCUUCGGGAAUCUAGAUACAGGUGCUGCAUGGCUGUCGUCAGCUCGUGUCGUGAGAUGUUGGGUUAAGUCCCGCAACGAGCGCAACCCUUUUCCUUACUUGCCAGCAUUUCGGAUGGGAACUUUAAGGACACUGCCAGUGACAAACUGGAGGAAGGCGGGGACGACGUCAAGUCAUCAUGGCCCUUACGGCCAGGGCUACACACGUGCUACAAUGGUCGGUACAAAGGGUUGCUACACAGCGAUGUGAUGCUAAUCUCAAAAAGCCGAUCGUAGUCCGGAUUGGAGUCUGCAACUCGACUCCAUGAAGUCGGGAUCGCUAGUAAUCGCGGAUCAGAAUGCCGCGGUGAAUACGUUCCCGGGCCUUGUACACACCGCCCGUCACACCAUGGGAGUUUGUUGCACCAGAAGUAGCUAGCCUAACUGCAAAGAGGGCGGUUACCACGGUGUGGCCGAUGACUGGGGUG